UUCACCACAGAGAGAAAAAGGCCUGCCUCACAGCUUACAUUAACCGUAAAGAUUAGAGUCAUGCAUACAAUGUGCUGCGUCACUAAAGUAUUUCUCUCGGCAUCCCAGCUGUUUCUCCUCGCUUAAAUCUGGCGGUUACUUCGCCUAAAAAUAUCCCCCCUCUCUCCGUCUUUUCUCAGAACCCUGCCCUCAUACACAACAAGUUCUUAUCUUCAGGGACCAUGACUGCAGAGGGGUGUUACUGCUGAAGAAUAAGAGUAAACGUCGGGUGUAACCCACCACUACAAGUACAGAAUUCUAUGGAUCAAGAUCUGUCUGUUGUUAGCUAAAGACACAGUGGUUUUAGUUCAGAUUAACCUGCCUUUUUCGGGACUAAUUUAAAGGAGGACUUCUUAUAAAUGUGUGAGGCAGCACUACGUGGCUCAGUGAAACACCGCUACGAACGGAAGCAGACGAUCACUAAACAGCGGAGAAAAACAGAAGCCAAAAGAACCCUGAGGAAGAAGUCUUCCAA